rnacentral:sRNA from 1 species
AGAACGUCCGCCUCGAACCUUUUUCUCUUGUCCAAAGUCUGAAUCUUGUGAAGAUAGACUACCUCCUGUUCCGCCUCUAUUCCGCCCAGUCAAUGAUUUUGGCGACGCAUUGGACUCUUCUGAAAUGUCGACGUUACUCAAUUCCCAUAAUGAUCUUCGAAAAUCGAGAGGUCUUAAAGACUUGGU